rnacentral:ncRNA from 1 species
AAGGUAGAGGCGCGGCUGCGAAAAGUACCUGUUCACGGGACGACCCGUCCGAUGGUGGACAGCGAAAGGCAAUGCCGCCGAAGAGCUGUCUUUGGUAAAUUCAGCUCUGGCUGUAUGUCAAACAGGUAUGCAGCUGUCAUCAUGUGUGAUGGAGAGCUAUCGG